rfam:Microgenomates bacterium GW2011_GWB1_45_17 TX00_C0010, whole genome shotgun sequence.
GCGGGUGUGGUUCAAUGGCAGAAUGAUUCCUUCCCAAGGAAUAGACGGGGGUUCGAUUCCCCUCACCCGCU